CAUGGAGGGUGAGAAUCCCGUUCGGUUAACCAAAGCGCUUUACGAUACGCUUUCAAAGAGUCAAGUUGUUUGGGAUUGCAGCUUAAAAUGGGAGGUAAAUUUCUCCUAAGGCUAAAUAUUGGCGAGAGACCGAUAGCGAACAAGUACCGUGAGGGAAAGAUGAAAAGAACUUUGAAAAGAGAGUUAAACAGUACGUGAAAUUGUUGAAAGGGAAACGAUUAAAGUCAGUCGUACCUACGAGUAAUCAACCUACUCGAGUGCGAUUUUGUGGGUAUGUUAGAGCUUAAAAACCUUCAUGCUUACAAAUUGGUGCUCUUUGGGCGUACUUUCUCGUAUGGUAGGUUAACAUCAAUUUCGAUCGUUAUAAAAUGACUGGAGGAAUGUAGCUUCGAUCUCGGUUGAAGUGUUAUAGCCUUUGGUAGAUGUAAUGAUUGGGAUUGAGGAUUGCAACGGAUACCCUCUGGGCUAUUCGUCUGAUCUCUGGAAGUUACCUUGGUGUCGAAAGCGUGCUUACGAUAUUAAGGUUGACGGCCAAUAGGUUAGAACGUGAUUAAAUUCGUUAAGGAUGUUGACGUAAUGG
rnacentral:rRNA from 1 species